rnacentral:rRNA from 1 species
UACAGAGGGUGCGAGCGUUGUUCGGAAUUAUUGGGCGUAAAGGGCGCGUAGGCGGUGCCACAAGUCACUUGUGAAAUCCCCGGGCUUAACUCGGGGCCUGCAGGCGAAACUGUGGUGCUGGAGUAUGGGAGAGGUGAGUGGAAUUCCUGGUGUAGCGGUGAAAUGCGUAGAUAUCAGGAGGAACACCUGUGGCGAAAGCGGCUCACUGGACCAUAACUGACGCUGAUGCACGAAAGCUAGGGGAGCAAACAGG